rnacentral:rRNA from 1 species
CAGAGGGGGCAAGCGUUGUUCGGAAUUACUGGGCGUAAAGGGCGCGUAGGCGGCCUGUUAAGUCGAACGUGAAAUCCCCGGGCUCAACCCGGGAACUGCGUCCGAAACUGGCAGGCUUGAAUCCGGGAGAGGGAUGUGGAAUUCCAGGUGUAGCGGUGAAAUGCGUAGAUAUCUGGAGGAACAUCGGUGGCGAAGGCGACAUCCUGGACCGGUAUUGACGCUGAGGCGCGAAAGCCAGGGGAGCAAACGGGAUUAGAUACCCCGGUAGUCCUGGCCCUAAACGAUGAAUGCUUGGUGUGGCGGGCAUCGAUCCCUGCCGUGCCGAAGCUAACGCAUUAAGCAUUCCGCCUGGGGAGUACGGUCGCAAGGCUG